rnacentral:rRNA from 1 species
GCGCAAGCCUGAUCCAGCCAUGCCGCGUGAGUGAUGAAGGCCUUAGGGUUGUAAAGCUCUUUUGUCCGGGACGAUAAUGACGGUACCGGAAGAAUAAGCCCCGGCUAACUUCGUGCCAGCAGCCGCGGUAAUACGAAGGGGGCUAGCGUUGCUCGGAAUCACUGGGCGUAAAGGGCGCGU